rnacentral:rRNA from 1 species
CCUACGGGCGGCAGCAGUGAGGAAUAUUGGGCAAUGGGCGAGAGCCUGAAGCAGCGAAGUCGCGUGAAGGAUGACGGCCCUAGGGGUGGUAAACUUCUUUUGUCAGGGAGCAAUUGGGUCCACGCGUGGGCUUAGCGAGAGUACCUGAAGAAAAAGCAUCGGCAAACUCCGUGCCAGCAGCCGCGGUAAUAAGGAGGAAGCGAGCGUGAGUCGGAUUUAUUGGGUUAAAGGGAUGCGUCGGGGGAAUAUCAAGUCAGCGGUAAAAACUCGGGGCUAACCCGCGUCGUGCCGUUGAAACUGAUGUUCUUGAGUGGGCGAGAGGUAUGCGGAAUGCGUGGUGUAGCGGUGAAAUGCAUAGAUAUCACGCAGAACUCCGAUUGCGAAGGCAGCAUACCGGCGCCCAACUGACGCUGAAGAACGAAAGCGUGGGUAUCGAACAGGAUUAGAUACCCUGGUAGUC